AACGGAAACGAAAAUAGCUUGCUAUUUGGCGUCGAGUGGCGAACGGGUGAGUAACGCGUAGGAAUCUACCCAGUAGAGGGGGAUAGCCCGAAGAAAUUCGGAUUAAUACCGCAUAAUCUCUACGGAGUAAAGAAGGCCUCUUUACAAUGCUUUUACUAUUGGAUGAGCCUGCGUUAGAUUAGUUAGUUGGUAGGGUAAAAGCCUACCAAGGCGACGAUCUAUAGCUGGUUUUACGAGAAUGAUCAGCCACACUGGAACUGAGACACGGUCCAGACUCCUACGGGAGGCAGCAGUGAAGAAUAUUGGACAAUGGGGGAAACCCUGAUCCAGCAAUGUUGCGUGUGUGAAGAAGGUCCGAGGAUUGUAAAGCACUUUCAGUAAGCAAGAAAAAUGUAAAUCUAAUAGAUUUGCAUGUUGACCACUUAUAGAAGAAGCACCGGCUAACUCCGUGCCAGCAGCCGCGGUAAUACGGAGGGUGCGAGCGUUAAUCGGAAUUACUGGGCGUA
rnacentral:rRNA from 1 species